rnacentral:lncRNA from 1 species
GAUCUUCCUUGCUUGGCCAUAUCUUCCUCAAUUUCAUUAAAAGCAUCUAAGAGUGUCCUGUAAAUCAAUUUCAUGUAUUCUGGAAGCGUAUCUACGGCCUCAAUAUUCCAUCUGGAAAUCAAUGUAAUAACCAUUUUAUAAUAAUAGCAACAAAAAUUUGAUUCUGAAAUUCAAAAUUAAUUAGCUAUACGCAGGGCACUAACCUUUGAACUGCUUCAGUAAAGAGGCUGAGUUCUUCAAGUGUACCAUAAGCAUCAUAAGUAUCAUCUAUGAUGGAUAAUAUGUAAUUUAAUUGGGUCAUUAUCUUUCUCCCAAAUGCAUAUUGAGGCUCGAAGUAUGUCCCUAAAUCCCAAAAAUAUAACUCCACUAAUCUGUCUCUUGCAUAAGGUAGUUUUGUAGUGAAGUCUAAAUCUUUCCACCACCUGAAAUAAGAAUAUAUACAUGUGUCACGAUUCUAUUGAUUGGAUGUACGACGGAGGUAUAAAAGAAUUUCUCCCUAUCGAAAGAACUUACUUUGUUAAUUCAUUGAGUUCCUCCUUGUGUAGCUCUAGCAAUAUGUUAAAAUCUAACUUUGCAAAAUUCAGCAGAGUUAUAUUGUGUAAAUGAUCACUUGUUGAAUUGAUCAUGGACAUAAAAUACCUCGCCUCUAAUCUUGGUAGGGUUUUACGAAGAGGACGGUAUAAAGCAUGAUUUAUCUGUUCCGCAAGCUUAGGGUUACAUGAUCCUGAGCUACCAAUGACUUCAGGUGAGUGGUAGUGAAAGCAAUGGCUUCAUCUAAUAUAUCUUCUCCGCGAAUUGCCAUGUAUGCUGCCUCGUACAAACUUAACAUCCCUUGAACAUCGUUUAUCAACGAUGACUUGAAUCUACCCUCAUCAUCUUUGAACUUCUCAAACACAUCUGAUUAUCACAUUCAAAAAGUAAAUUACUGAAGGCUUACAUGAUUAAUAAUUAGUCAAUGAUUUUGUAAUUUCAAUAAUGCUAGAGCCACAAAUUCUUCAUACAUUACAAACUCAUCAAGUCGCAUCAUAAUUUUGGUUAGAUAAAAAUAUCAUUACAAACUCAUGAAGUCGCACCAUAAUUUUGGUUAGAUAAAAAUACCACAUGACUUAUUUUCAUUAUUAUUUUUAUUAAUCAAUCAAUACUCUUAUAUGAAAAAAAAAAAAAAGUAGGGUGAGGGUAAAAUCUAAAUUGAUAUUUUAGCCCCGGCCUAGCUUACAAUAUUCAAACUCAAGUGAUUGGCUAAAGAAAACUACUUGAAAAUCAGUCGUCCAAAUCUCUGGGGACAAAUACAAUAAAAAGUGUUUGUGGCUGUCGCAUUACUCACAAUUGUAAUAGCUUGAGUGAGAUUACAUACCACAUGAAAUCUUGAUUCCUUGCUGCCUAAGCAAUCGAAAAUGAAGAGAAACGGUGUGAAGAUCAGGGCUAUUACUGUCAAUAUAGUUUGGACAUAACUUUUGUAUUGCAUCUUCUAUUUCUUUCUCAAAGUGAUAAGCCACCCCCAGGCGUUGUACUUCAUCAAUCAAGCGUAACUUCUGAACAGGCUUAUCUUCAGCAUCUGUUAUCAUUCUCCUUACCUCUUCUUUCAGUGCCUCGUGUCGUUCUUGAGUUGCAGUAUGAUCAACUGUCUGAAGCACAAAAAAUAAUUUGUUAAAUUCAUACAAUAUCUGAUGAAUGGUCAAUUUAAAAAAAAAAAAAGCUGCUUUAAAACCAUUUGGUCAAACUCCUGAAGAUACGGUACAUGCUCACUUAACAAAUCGAGUCAUAUAUGGGAUGUUUGGGUUCAUCUUUACCUUGAAAUCAGAAGCACCUUUGAGGAAAUGGUUUCUCCAUAAACUAGGAUGGAAAUCUGCAGUAGGACGAAAUGUUUCUCCAGACGACAUUUUUGUGUCAGACAAACGGGUGCUGCAGAAUUUUGAUAUUUCUGUGGAAUUAUAAUUUGUAUUUCUACUACUACUGCACCCUUUAAUAUAUACUAAUUCGAUUAUAUCAAGACGGACGCAUGCAACUUGUCUUGAAAGCCUUUUAAUUUAAUUUAUUAUCAAUUCCGAUUCAUUUAAACGCUUGGAUGCAUGGAAACCACGUGAUGGGUCAAUUUUUGACUUUCUGUUAGAUUCUCAAAAUUGUGUCAAUUUUUUUUUCUUUUUCUUUUUGGCCUAUUUAUAACUUAUGGUUUUAAUGGAAAGAUUUUAGUGCAUAUCUGUAUCAUAUUGACAAGUGACAACAACUAGUGUAUUUACUGGGAUAAUUAUUUUUCAGGUAACUCGUUCUCUGUUUAAUCGCAACAAAAUGGCUUGUCUCUAAUUAGAGUUUGAUUAUAUGUUUAAGCUCUUGGUUCUAUUUAGAGUUAGGACUCCAGAAAGUGUUCGUAGAGUUUACACGUACAAGAGAAAUUUUGUUGCUUGCAAUAUUUGGCAUGUAAGGCGGAUGAAAAAUAGGCUUGGGCAUAUGUAUUACAUUGUUUCGGAGUUAGUGCUGAGAUUUUGGCUAACUUUUUAGAAAUAUAUAAUUAGUAGUUAUUUGGAUAAAAAUAUAAAACUAAUUAAAUUUUAACUAUGUAUACGUUUAGGUAUGGAAAAAUACUAUAAAAAGUUUAGCACAGUUAAACUCAGUAUUGGAUCCAAAUCUGUAAUACAUGGGAACUAUUGAACCUAUCAAGAAGAGCUGACUUGUUAGAAAGAAGAUAUCUUGAUAAAGUUGGCAUGUCUCUUGUAAAGAGAAAAAAAAAAAUUAUUAGAAAAGAGAUGGCAUAAAACCAUUAGUAAUUUUGUUGCCUUAAAAACAAAAAUUUAAUGAAGAUCGAACGUCGUGAGCAAAAACGGAAUUCAAAAAUAAAUUUCGUGAUUAAGAAAUUUAUGAAUUAUUCACAGGAUUACAAUUUCUUGAGAAUUAAGUAGUCAAAAUAGGAGAGCUAACCGAAUUUAAUUUGAUCUAAUUUAUUUAACCAACAGUCCGUAAUUAAUUGGAUUUGAUUUGAUUUUCUUAUUUUUUUAUUCAACUCAAUCUUCCAAGGACGAAAUAAAAUUUGAUCCAAUUUUAUUCAAUUUAAAAAUAACCAAUCUAAAUAACAACAAAAUCAUAUUGUAAAUAUCGAUUCGAAUCAAAUUAAUUAAUUUAAAAGUAUAGUAUUUUCAAAAUAUUUUUUAGAUAUGAUGGUUUUGAGUUUUUAAUCUAUAAUACGUGAUGGAAUGGGGUCAGGUACAAUUUCUAGUACUUUCAUAAAAAGAUUUUAGAUACACGGGUUUUGACCUUUUAUUCUAUAAUACAUGAUGGAGAGAGAUCAGAUAUAAUUAAAAUAAUUCUAUAUUUAUUUUUUUAUUAUAUUUUAUUAUAUAAUAAUGGAGAUUGAUUUUUUUUAGUAAUUAUAGCUAUUUUAAAUUUUUUAUUCCAGAUUUUAUCUUAAAUGAUCGGUUAUUUAUUAAAUGGUUGAUAAUUUUUUUAUAAGAUUCAGGUAAAUUAAUUGUAUUAUCUUAUCAUCCAAUUGAUGUAUGUUAUAUCACUUGGAUAUUUUUUAGGAUAAAAAAUUUAGAAUGUAUGGCACUACUCUUUUUUUUUUUUUUUUGGUGAGAUUAUUUGAACCCACUAAAUUACUCUCAACACUAAUUUGCUUAAUAAAUCCAUGACUAAAGUUUAAAAAUAAAAAUUUACUUUAUAUGCUCACCUAAAUGCCCGAUUUACCCCUAUCUCUUUGUAACAUUAUUUGAAAAGCAAAAAGAAGAGAAAGGGGAAAAAACUUGACAUGGUAUCUUUUAGAUCGGAAAAGAGAGAAGCUUGAUUGUUGGAAUACAUAGAUAAUCCAAAUCCAAAUCUCAUUUCCAUCUUAAAUCGGUAAUCCAAUUUGGCUACCAUUACAACCAGUAAGUUUAUUUUUUCAAAUUAGAAUACAACAUGCACUACUAGAAAAAUGGUCUUUACUGAUACUUAGUUCGUGACACUUUAUUAAAAAGUAUCAGUAUUUACAUAUAUAUGGACCAUUUUCCGUGUUUAACAUAUAAGUAUCACAAAAUACUAAUACUAUGGUGUCUCUAAAUUAAACAUCAGAGAUUACUGACACUAAAGUAUCUGUAAAAAAUUUAAAGUAAUUCUGAUAUUGGUCCCGAUAAAACUUGAACCCAAGACCUAUAAAAAUUAAGCUUUUAAGUUUUAAACAAAAGCCAUUAUAAUUUUUUGCAAUGACACUAAGGUAUCGCUAACUGUUAAAAAAAAACAAAAACAAAAACACACGCACGCAUUCACACAUGACACCUCACCCCACACACUCACAAGACGCAAAAACAAACCCUAAGUCCUUAACAAUUAACAUUACAAUACUUUGAAAGAGAGAGAGAGAGCGCCGCUACUCUCGAUCCAGUGCUCCAACACCGGCUCAGAUCUCUCGCUUUUAUAUCACCGCGUCAAGCCUCUCCGUCAUGCCGUCAAGCCUCCAUCAAGUGUCACUGCUUCAAGCCUCCAUCAAGUGUCAUUGCGUCAAGCCUCUCUGUCACGCUGUCAAGCUUCCAUCAUGCGUCACCGCGUCAAGCCUCUCUCCGCUGUCAUAAGCCACCGAUGCGGCACCGCGCCAUUGGUAGUGUCGUUAAGGUGCACCAAAUUUAAAACCUUACCACUAAUAUAAAUAAUUAGUACAGAGCGAGUAAGGAUUGAUCCCACAGAGAUUAUACUAGUUAUAUUUAUUAUUAACUCUAAAGCAAGAUUUGAAAUAAAAUAAUGGUAGUAAUAAUAAGAGUAAUAAUAAUAUAAAUUAAUCUAACUAAAGAAAAUGCCAAUUAUAAAUAAAAAGGGGGUUUAUGAAUUUUUUAACUAAAUAGUAAGAAGUAAAGAAAUUAAAACUACGAACAAGAAUUUAAUAAAAACUCUAAUUAAAAGAAAAAGAAAUAAUAAUGAUGAAAACUUUGGUUAAAGGAUGAUUCGCCACCACCAAACAUGCACAUAAUAUAUCAAUUCUAUUAUCAAUUUAUAUUGAAACUAUCAACCGUAGACAACAAUAAGCUCUGUUAGUCUCAAUCUUUCCUUAGUGUGUUGUUAGGCAAAACAAGCUCUUCACAUAAUCUCUAACCAUUAAAUAAUUUAAAACAAGCUCUUUCAAUUUAAGAUAAUGGAAGCAUUAAAUAAAGAAAGAUAUUAUGUUGAUCUAGGCAAUAAACACACAAGCUCGGAUUAUUUAACCUAGGUUAUGUUCUUCAAUUGAAAUCACUAAUUCCAACCUGCUACUAAUGAUUAAAAUAUCAAGACAAUUACGGAUCAAGAAUUUUAAUCUAGCAAUAAAAUUUAUUCAAGUCCUAUCUAAUUGGCCACUCAAAUAAAACAAGAAUAAACCAUGAACAUUAAUUAUAGAAGAACAUAAACAAUCUCAAUUAAAUAAAUUGAAUGAUAGAAUUUAAAUUUAAUUGCAUAGCAUGUUUAGGGUUUUGAAUUCACCCUCAACCAAAUAAAAAUCUAGCCUAACAUAAUUGAAUUGGGAAUAAGAGAAUUGAUAAAACCAGUCAUGGAGAUUAAUUCAAGCGGCUGCCUUUGCUUCAAUUUUAAUUCCUUCCGGCGUCUCCCUUGUUUUUUUCCUUCUUGCAGCUGCAAUCUCAAAUUCUCUUGCUACCGAUUCUCCUCCAGUGUUGCUUCUGCUUGAUCCUAUUUAUAAUGCUUCAAUUGUGGCUUUUUUAAAUCCUUGCCUGGAAAGAAUUAAAUUCAAAGCCCAAAACCGCCACUUUCAUGCUUCAAUUAAUAAGCCAAUAAUGAUUUCCUAAAGCCAAAAGGCUUUAUUCUCUUUCCUUUCAUGUGGCCACUUUUGAUUUGCAAUCUUUGUUUUCCAAUUUUGCUUUCAUGUGAUGGCUUGGCUUGUUAAUUGGCUUGGCUUCCUUUUUGACUUUCAUUUUCUAAUUUUAGCUCCAUGUACAACAUUAAUUUUGCUUGGCCGAUACAAGCUUUAAUUAAAUUUAUUUUCUAAUUCCUUUCAAUUCUUGAUCUCUUGUGCACUUUUGUCUUUCAAUCUUCAAUCAAAUUUCUUUCCUGAAUGCUCCGAUUUAAUUUCUCUUUAAUUCUAGAAUAUACCUAAAAUAACAAAAUAAAUAAAACUAAGAUAAAAAUUAACACAAUAAAAUAUAAUUUACUAAAUUAAAAGUUAACUAAAAUAACUAGAAUAUUUAAGACCAAAACAAGAAAAAGAUAGAGAAAUUAAUAGCAAAAUAUAUGGAAAAUAUGCACUUAUCAGCCAUCACUAGCCAACCAGCCACCAAAAUUGACAGCCGUGCUAGCUACCCACCACCACAAUACCCUACCACUGCCUGCUAAUACUCCACAAAAUCUUCUCAAGACUUCGAGCCACAGUGUCCAGGUCUGCUUUUUCAAGUCUUGCUUUUUUAAGUUUUUAGUAUCAUCAAGUCUUGCUUCUUCAAGUCUUAAAGUGUAUCUUCAGUCACCAAUUAUAUUUAUGGGUAUUCACUGGUUCGUUGAGUAAUUUUUUCAAACAUAUGGGGUAUUGCGUCAUAACAGCCUUGUAUAUUUCUAUAUCUAAUAUUGAAUGAAUGAAUGAAUCUAUGUGUAGCUUACGAUCGAAAUGCAAAAUCAAGAGUAGUAACAAUUAAAGAACAAUUAAAAAUGAAAUGAAAGCAUAUUCACAAGUUGUUUAUUGAUUUACCUUUCAAUAAAUCUCUCUCUCACACUCACACACUCUGCUCUCUAACCUACCUUUUUGACUUGGCUCCCAAAAAAUAAUAAAGUAAAAUUUUGGUCCCAAGAAAGUUUGAUUUCUAAACAAAGGGGAAAAAAAAGUUAAAAGAAAGUAAGAUUUAUUUUACAAAUUUUACGGUGCUUCUCUUUUAGAACUGUAUGUAUAAAUAAUAAUAAUAAUAAUAAUAAUAAUAAUAAUAAUAAUAAUAUGAGUUUCAUAGAAAAUUUAAUUUAUUUGAUCAUGUUCAUUGAUAUGCUUUAACAAUGCUUUAUUAAUUCUAUUAAUUGCACUUCUUAACUCCUACUUAUCAUAUGAUUAACCCCUUAGUUUGGUUGGGAUGAUUGGUACUUUCUAUUUUUAACUUAUGGUGGAGCGUUUGAGUCUUGCGGUGACCUAUUAGUUUGGUUAAGUUGAUCGGCACUUUCUAUCUUUAACUUACGAUGGAGCAUUCGAGUCUGGCAGUAAAUAUAUAUUAGAGUUUAUUUUUUUAUUCGAAGGGAAAAUCUUUAAAUAACAAUAAAAAUAUAAAAUAUUUAUUAGUACAGACCAAUACGGUACACCGUAUUUCCUUCAAACACAAACCAAGGAACUGAAAAUAUUAUUAAUAGAAGUAUAGAACUAGUCGUCAAAAUGGAACGUGGUCUCCUAGCACAGAAGCAAUUUGAUCUUUAAUUAGGUAAGAAUGCGUAUAGCCGUCGUCCUCUUUGUAAAUAAAAUCAAUUGCACGAGCAAGAUUAAGAAUCGUCCCGAGCAGUGGUCGGGCAACGACGGUUGGCUUCAUCAUCAACUCCUCGUUAAUAUCUUUCCAUGCAUUUGCAACUUCUUCUUCAAACAUUUUAAUUGCCUCUUCCUUAGAGACACCAUGCUGCUUCGUGUAACAUUCAAUAGCUGACGCAACAUGUCCUCUCUUCUGCUCAAACUACAUAUAUAAUAACAUAUGGUUUAGUAUCGGUGCCUGUUUAGAUUGGUAUAUAUUAGGAGAUUUAUAAGUAAUUAUAGUAAUUAUUCAAAAAAUUAAAAGUUAAUUUUGAUGUAUACACACACACACCCCACUUUUCAGUGCGCAGAUUUUUUAAAAAUAUAAUAACAUAGAUUGGAGGGUUUUGAUAAAUUUUCUAUAAAAGUGCGGGGUUAUGUAAGCAGUGGAAAAAACUAUAAGGGGAUGUAGUGCCAUUUUCACUUAAUUUAAUUAGUAGUUAGUAAAGUAUUUUUUAUUUUGCAUACCUCAUGACCUUGCAUGUCAUCCAAGAGUCUGCAGAUAACUGAUGCUGCUUUUACAACCUUAGGGUUAUCGGAGAUCCAUUCAAAAACCUCUUUAGUUGCAAAAUCACCCAUCCCAAGGAAGGAAUUUGUUAUGACGAAUGUGUAAGCACAACUUGUUAGUGCAAUAGGCAUAUACUCCUCAAUUGUUGGAACGUAACCUUCACUGAACCAUUUGGCUUGAACAAAGUAUGCUCCAAUUACUUUUUGAUUCUGAGAAGCAAAACGCAGCUAAACCUUAGCCGUUAUAAAAACAAUAAUAAGAAAUAAGUUUUUAAAUUUUAAUAUACCUGUUGUGAUAUAUUAAUUUGAUCUAAUUAAUUUCUAAGAGCCAAUAAUUCAGUAAGAUUUAUGGUUGACGAGUAAGAUUUCUCAUCUCCAUCCGAACAAUACAAUAAAAAAGGAAACAGCCUCCAUCAUCGAACACACUUUUGAUAAGUUUUAUGUAACCUAAAAAAUAGCUCCAAGGGUUUAAGCUAAUUAUCCAAUUAAUUCUUACAUUUGUAAUAAUUCAGGGAGAGGUGUGAAAAUUUUAGCAAAAUUUCAGGGGGGUGAAUGAAAUAUGUCUAAAAUUUUGUGAAACUUAAAUUUACCCAUAGAUAUUUGAUGUAAUUUUGUGGGUGGAGUAGAUAUUCCUCCCAAAAUUGUGUACAAUACACAUAUCGGUAAUUUAAAGGAAAAAAAAAUAGGGAGGAUGAUGCAUACCGCCUCUUUUGCAUAACGUACGCAGUGUGAUCUUCCUUGCUUGGCCAUAUCUUCCUCAAUUUCAUUAAAAGCAUCUAAGAGUGUCCUGUAAAUCAAUUUCAUGUAUUCUGGAAGCGUAUCUACGGCCUCAAUAUUCCAUCUGGAAAUCAAUUUAAUAACCAUUUUAUAAUAAUAGCAACAAAAAUUUAAUUCUGAAAUUCAAAAUUAAUUAGCUAUACGCAGGGCACUAACCUUUGAACUGCUUCAGUAAAGAGGCUGAGUUCUUCAAGUGUACCAUACGCAUCAUAAGUAUCAUCUAUGAUGGAUAAUAUGUAAUUUAAUUGGGUCAUUAUCUUUCUCCCAAAUGCAUAUUGAGGCUCGAAGUAUGUCCCUAAAUCCCAAAAAUAUAACUCCACUAAUCUGUCUCUUGCAUAAGGUAGUUUUGUAGUGAAGUCUAAUUCUUUCCACCACCUGAAAUAAGAAUAUAUACAUGUGUCACGAUUCUAUUGAUUGGAUAUACGACGGAGGUAUAAAAGAAUUUCUCCCUAUCGAAAGAACUUACUUUGUUAAUUCAUUGAGUUCCUCCUUGUGCAGCUCUAGCAAUAUGUUAAAAUCUAACUUUGCAAAAUUCAGCAGAGUUUUAUUGUAUAAAUGAUCACUUGUUGAAUUGAUCAUGGACAUAAAAUACCUCGCCUCUAAUCUUGGUAGGGUUUUACGAAGAGGACGGUAUAAAGCAUGAUUUAUCUGUUCCGCAAGCUUAGGGGUUACAUGAUCCUGAGCUACCAAUGACUUCAG